rnacentral:lncRNA from 1 species
AAAAAAAAACCCUUAAAUUCAAGUACCUAGUAGCAAUGUCCAUCAGAGCUAAGCCUCCUUCAUUCAUGUUCUUGCUGAUAUUUCUCUUCCUUUCUUAUGGCCUGCAGUCUCUCGGUUAUGAAGUUCCAUACCCCCAAACCGGGAAAGAACGAUGUUUACAACGUUGCGAUGAAAUUGAGACAGAGGUUUCAGGGUUAGUUAGCUGUGCAGUGCGCUGUGAACACCAAUAUGGAGAUAAAGGAAACGGCAACAAAGGUGGAGAUCCGAAGAGUCCUCGCUGGGAGAUUGAACGGUGCCAGCAACGUUGCCGAAGAGAAGGAGCUGACCAGAGAGAGCUGCAAAAAUGUCAGCAACGCUGUGAAGAGGAACCGAUUAAGGAGAGGGAAAGAGAACAAGAAAAAGGGCAAGAGAGACAACCGCGAGAGCACGAACUAGACAGAGAGAAAAGUGAUGAUCCUCGAAAGCAAUAUGAAAGAUGUCUUGAAAUCUGUGAGAGACAAGAAGGAAGGCAGAAACAGCAGUGUAAAAGAAGGUGUUAUACGCAAUAUGAAGAGCAACAAAAAGAAUGGGAAGAAAGAGAGCAUGGAGGUGGCGGAGGAAACUCGGAAACAGAAACUAGAAGUAGAGAAAUUGAGCAACACAAGAAUAACCCUUACUACUUCCAUGCUCAGAGAUUAAGAUCUCC